UCGUUGACCAGAGGUGAUCGCGAUAGGAAACGUUUCCAAGCUCAAGAAGCUCAGAUACCAGGACCGGAGGCAGAAGAAUCUGGAAAAAGCGUGACCGGGAGGAAAGAGGAAAAUCCAGGACGAGUGAAACCACAGAAGAGAAAGGAGGAAGGGUGAAAAGGGGGAGUGGUCAGUAGUGCUAAGUGCCAAACAGAAAGAGGAAGCAAGAUAAGAGCCCAGAGCGGCCAUUAGUUUGAGCAACAAAAGAAUCAUGGCUGACCCCAGUGAGUCUGAUCUGAGUGGAAAGUUGGGGGUGGGAGCCGGAAUCCCACUGGUUAAGAAGUGUGUUCUCAGGGACUGCUCUUGGAAGAUGGCGGGAGGCUUAGGGUCGAAGAAGGUGUGUUUUAAGGGGGGAGACCCUUGAAUGUUUUUAUCCCCAGAGCUGGAACGUUCCAAAGGAAGAAGUUGUGGAAGAGAGAACUGGAUCCACAGAGACACCAUGGGACCCCUGGGAAAGCCUGGGGGAGGGCUCGGCGCGCUGGCGACCGUCCAGAGCCAAGGAGAGGAGCGUCAGAAGAAACCAGCCCUGCCGACACCUUGAUCUUGGACCUGCAGGCUCCAGAGCUGUAAGAUGCAGACUUGGAGUCCUGAAGCCAGCUGGUGUUCUUCCCUCCCGGGAGCACUCCUUGACUCCUGCCAACAGUGGCCUGCGUGCGGACUGUCCUACGCUCAGCUUUGGGCCAAUGCUGAGAAUUCAUCCUCCAUACAUCAUGGGCUCACAACAGACCCACUCGUUCCUUCAACUGCUUUGAGCCUAUUUCAGAGUCCAAGGUCCAGCUGGGUGCGCGAAGAUGAAGCGAGUGGGUCCCUGUCCACUUCCCACCAUUAGCGUCGUCAAUGGUCUAGAGUAGGUCCGGCCACCUUUUCUCUAUAAGCACUCCUUAGGUGACAUGUAUCCAGCUCCAAUUUUUGAAAGGAUUUUAUCCAUCAGAUUAAAUAAGAUGCAUCUUUUGUUCUGUUGAACUCCAGAACUGAGUUAUCUGACCUGACGGCCUGGGUCAGAGACAGGACACGGAGGAUCACCUUCAUGUCUUACCCCUUCAGUGGUAUUACCUCUUCAGCGGAAGUUUUGGUCCUUGACACCAGAUUCCCAGGGAUAAGAGGACCACUCUUUGUUUAAGGACCUCUAAGAGACUGAACCUUUGUGGAAGCUUUUAAAAUUUAUUCGCAGGAAGUAAUAAUUCAUUUCCUCAUUUUUUAUUAUUCAAAGCAAAUAAAAUUGAAUGUGUAAUGGGAGCCAGUGGUGUUUGACAAACAACACAUGACAAGAGAGAUAGUAAACUGAUUUGUCUAAUAAUACAAUAAAUGGUUUGAGUUACAUUCUGUGUCUUCUUCAAAAGCAACACAACUAUUUCUAAGAGGGUCUUUGAACUAUUGGAAAGGGCCAUCAAAUUCUCAUCAAUAUGUUUGGGAUUCAAGGACCCCAGUUAGGGAAUCUCUGUAGUGUAAUUAAAAUACAGAAAUAAAAUGCCCCCAACAGAAAACAAAAAACAAAACAAACAAACAAACAAAAAACCCCUACAGUUAUGUUGCUCAAACUCUCCAAUCAACACCAGAAUCAGUCAUCUGUGCUUCCUUGCCACCCUCCAUGAAUGUGAAUAUUUGAGAAGCAUGGUUAGAGUCCUAAAGAUUAUCCUUGUCAAGUGUGAGUGCCUUUGGAAAAGCACCAAUCUGGGGAAGAUUUCUCAAACUGGAUUGGGUAGUACCAUGGGUCAUCGUGCCAUAUCAGAAUAUUCCAUUUGAAGAUGGUUUAGAAAAGCAUUUAUUCUUAAUGCACAAUCUCUUAUUUGAAACGAGCAGAAAAAAUAUUGUUUUCAUAGCACAAAAAUGCCAAAUAAACCUUUACAAAAUUGUCUUGGUUGUAAGAGUGUGAAGAAGUGAGUCUUCACCUUUGGGACAUAAUCCCGACAGACUGGACUAUGGGAAUCCCAGCAGAGAAAAGGUAUGAGAUUUUUUUUUAUCUCUAUAGAAAGAGGACGGACGUUAAAAAAAAAUAAGCUGAACAAAAUGGAUUUAAGGCAUGACAAAGUUUCCCCCACAGAAUAUUCAAGAAUCACUUUAAGAAAAAAGAGUAGCCUGUCUUACUGGUAAGAUGAAGCCAGAGAAGAUCCAACUGUGCACUCCAGAAGAGGGCAAUGUCAAAGCCCAAACAUUCCCUGAGAGUAGAACAAGCCAUUGCAACUGUCAUAGCUUCUCAAUUUGUCAGCAACGUUGAAGCCACUGAACUCUUUUGAGAGCAGAGGAUUUCAUGGACUAGAGGAAAAAAUGCUUUUCAAGUAAAGGACAUUUCCAGCUUCUUCCUUGAA